rnacentral:lncRNA from 1 species
UGAGUGUAAAAUUUUAUUGCGUGGAGGUAGCUCUCAGCGGACGGAGGAUCCACAAGGGAGGUAGUCUUCCCCUGCAGUUGGGCCUCUCAGCAGCCCGGCUGUCCUCCCACUGCCCUGGCCAGACUGCCCUGGCCAGACUCCACUGCCUGCGGGCAUGCUCUUCGGCCGCAGAGGAGGCAUGCUCUUCUGCGAGCUCUUCUCAACGACCAGCUGCUUGUGUCUUCUUCAGCCGACGUGCUCCUUUUGAUGUGUGGCUGCCCGCUAGGAUGUGUGUGUGGUACGGGGCGGGGGGUGGGGGUGGAGAACGGUUAUUAUAGGUACAGGAUGGGGCGUGGCAGGCCAGGGUGGUGUCGGGAAAUGCAACAGUUGGGCAGGAAAUGUCUGUCCUCACCUAGGUCCGUGGGGUGGAUCCCUAACAAGGGACCACGCCCUCCUCUACCCUGCACUUCCCUUCCCCGGUUUCCUAUUAUUUAAAGAGACCAGGGUCUUCCCUUCCCAGCACUCCCAUAUUAAUUCCACGCAAGUGGAAGUCACCAACAGCUACACCAGCAUUGUCAGAAGGAAUAUUAAUUAAACUGCUGUCGCUGCAGAUUGUGACUGGGGGCCUGUUUGCUUGGAUGUAGGAACAAUUGGAGAAAUUCCAUCGCUGCCCAGCUGACACUGGUGGUCAGCUGCUAAUGACCCUUCCGCUGGAGAGAAGAGGAAGUGGGCUUGGCUCUAACUUGCCCUGAUCCCCUUCCAGCCUGACAUUUCUAUGCACAGAGAACUAAUGGAGUCAGACCAGACUGCAAAUUCCCAUGCUGCCAUGCAGAAGCCAGGAGUAUGAAAUCAAGGUGUCAGAGGGGCUGUACUCCCUCCGAAGGCUGCAGGAGAAAAUCUAUUGCUUGCCUCUUCUACCUUUUGGUGGUUCCAGGAGUUCCUUGGCUUGUGAUCACAUCACUGAAAUCUUAACCUACCUGGUCAUACUGCUGCCUCUUCUUCUCUCUCAAAACUUCUCCUGCCUCUCUUCAUACUUGUGAUUGCAUUUAGGGUCCAUCUGGGUACUCCAGGAAAAACUCCUACUGUCAAGAUUUAACUUAAUCAUAUCUUAUGUCAUAUAAAGUCAUGUUCAAUAUUUUACAACAUAAAAUAAUAGUCACAGUUUCUGGAGAUAAGGACAUGGGCGUGUCUUUUGGGGGAUCAUCCUUCAAUCCAUUGCAUCUAUCUAUCAGUGAUCACCCCAACCCAAAUAAACCCGCAUAAUAUUU